AAGUGACUGUACUCUUCUAUUUUGUAAUAAUCAGGACAGGCUAAACAUUCGCUAUGUUAAAGCUAUGCACAUGUCCCCAGACCUAGUUCUUUCCCUAGGUUUGGUUUUAUAAAUGCUUGUGAUAAAC
rnacentral:snoRNA from 1 species